rnacentral:rRNA from 1 species
ACGCUCGACACCUACGGAGGCAGCAGUGGGGAAUAUUGCACAAUGGGGGAAACCCUGAUGCAGCGACGCCGCGUGGAGGAAGAAGGUCUUCGGAUUGUAAACUCCUGUUGUUGGGGAAAAAGAGGAUGGUACCCAACAAGGAAGUGACGGCUAACUACGUGCCAGCAGCCGUGGUAAUCUGAGCGGGCUGGCAAGGC